ACCCUGGCCCCAGGCACUGAUGGAGCAGAGCGGCAGGAGCACAUCAGGCACAGUGGUACUCCAUGAGGUCCACGAGGUUCUGAGGUCCAGAAGGUCCAAGAGGUGCUGAGGUCCGCCUGGGAAUCUGAUGGCCUUGGGCACAGAAGAACCUUGGGCACAGCUGUGAUUAGAGCUUGCAUUCCAGGUCACUCAUACACCAAAUGCAGAAUGCUGACAAUUACACCAUGAAACGAUCCAUCCCUUGAACAGAGGGCUGAGGAAGUGAGGGUUUUGCUGUUUCUUGCUUUAUUCUUUGCUUGGCUUUUCUCUCGGGUGCUGGUGAUGGACGCCAGAGCCAUACUUGCUCGGUGCUCUCCCUGCACGCCCUGUAAGUACUGAGCUGGGAGCUGAUAAUUCUGUGGCUCAGCAAUCCUUGUAUGAACAGAGAACCUGAAAAAGGCCCCGAUAAAGGAGGAUUGCACUGAGCCGUGGCCACGCACACGGCAGCGAGGAGACGCAGCCGCUCACAUCUCCCAGAUAAAGAAGCUCUCCAGGUGAGGAGAGAGGAUUUUCCCCCAGCACUUCUUAAGGUUGUGCCGCUCUGAUAAAGGCUCAGAUGUGCCUGGGCUGCCCGACAUCCCAUUCUGUGGUGCAAAAGGAAAGAUGAGUUUCUAUGAGUGUGUGACCACACACUUCACACGCUGGAAGGACUGAUUUUUCCACUUUAUAGAUACGUUUUUACGACACUGUAUUCUUAUAAAGGGAGGAGUGCUCAGGAAUACGAUGCUCUGCAUUGCGGAAUGCAAUUCACUUUUUAAUAAAGCUCAAGCAGAAGUCAAUACAUCGCUGAGAAUUCCUUUUCGAUGUGAUAGUAAUUAAAGCUGUAUAUUACUAGAAUCAUUACCACUUUCAUACGCUCUCAUGUUUAUUUAUACAGUUGAUGCUGGAUCUUUGUUCUCACACCAACAGCCUCGGGAAUCAUUUUGGUUUCUCCCUCCUCACCUCUUUGCCCUCCCUCCCUUUCUCUCGGCUGAGAAAUGCACAAAAAAUGUUGACUAAGCCUCAGAAAUUGAACAAGAUUUCAACCUUAUUAGGACUAAUUCAUUUAGCUAUGCAUAUUUGGUAAAUUUACCUUCAACUAAGCGUGCGGAAAUAAAUGGCUCAUUAAGAAUGAUGAAUAUUUAUGUUUUUCCACUUCCCACUUCUUGCAUAGGAAGGCUUUGUUACAUAACAAAGGAGGAACACCUAAGGAGAGAAGGACCACAUCUACAAUAACGCAAAUGCAAUUUGCAGAGCACUGAAAGGUUUGGCUAAUAGAAACAUCACAAAUCAUCCUAAUUCCCUUUUAAAUUGCACAUCUAUGGUACUUUUAAGACCGCAUAGGCAGGAAAGUAAGAUGGGGCGAAUUUGGACGUGAGUUCUUCUACCACAGUCGGUAGCAACCUUGGCCAGAAGAACCAUCCCAUCAUCUGUAAUGUCUUUUGUUCAUCAUCAGACUGCGUGCAGAGCAUCUCUCUCAUCCCCUGCUCUAAACCAAAGAUCCAUCGUGCCCAUCUGUUCUGUUGCUCUGAAAUCUGGAGCGUCUCCUGCACGGACUUCCAGGGUUUAUCAUAAAAAGCAACUUCAGUUUCCAUCCUAGGGCACAACCUCAAGGGGAAAAAAACGUGGAAAGGAAACUUACAAUUAAGACAAAGCAGGUCAGAUCUGCUCCAGAGCCAUAACCUUCUGCUUGAGUGCCUCGCUGUGUCUCACCCAGGUAAUCAUCCAGGAAAAGGACAGAUGAGCAAAUGUAUUUGUGGAAUGGAGUAUUGUUUACCAUCUGGUAUGCAUUGUUUGAAUCCUGUUAAAUUUCUUACAAAGAACAUGUAUAUUCUUCUUAAAGGUAGAAAGCUUUUAAGCUUGUCCUUAAUGUUAAUGCAAAUCUAGCAGAAGACUUCUACACUUUAAAGCUGAUGUGAAAGAGAAAAUGCUUAAGCCUUCCUGUUACUGCUUUGAUCAGAGCCAGGCCUUCAAAACUGUCACUGUGAAACGAGCACUUCUUUCUUAGUAAAGAGAAACCCUGAUAUGUGGAACAGCGUCAUUCAGAGGCAAGCAGCUGAGGGGUGCCAUUCCAGAGAAGGAGAUUAAAGAUCAUAACUAAUUUGAGGAAGUUUGAAUAGGAUCGAGUACGCAUACGAAGCAAUGUUUUAAUUUACUAGAAGCAGAGUAGUGCAGCUCUGGGAAAACUUGUCAGCAUGGGCACAGACUGUGUUCUGCUCCAUACACUUCCAUUUUCCAAGCUUCUCCUUAAGGACACAGUAUUCACCGAGAAAUGCCAUCGAUCAAAGAAAUAAGAAGCAGACUGUGCUCUAAGGACUGCAGCUUUCUUCAGUAACCUUUAGUCUCGUCCCCACCACCAGAGCUAUCAAAGCAUCCUUCCUUGAGCAGUUGGUCCAGCUUGCUUCCUUUGUCCACUGGGGGAAAUCUCGGAGGCUGCCUCAGCCAACAGCUGAGAGCCACAAAAUCAUUAGCGACGCUGGAUUAAAAUAAUUCUUACUGCAUUGAAUUAAAAGCAGUGUUGAGGUGUAGGAGACAGCAUCUGAGAUGAAGUUAUGAAUCGUGUGUCUGGAUGUCACGAAUCGUCACGACAGCUUGCAUUUUUUCCCACCAACAAUGAAAGUGUCUGUUUUCUCCCUGCUCUCAGGUUGGAAAGGUCACUAAGAAAUCUGCCUGAGCCACAUUAUCCCUUUCAUUUAUUUCCUCAUUUGUGCUGGAGACACACGGGCUCAUGAGCAGAAACGUAGUUUAGGAGGACUGCAAUGACAACAAGGAGGGACCAGACGUUUUGUGCAUUCAUUUGUCUUGCAGCAGCUACAAUUCUCCCCCAGCAAUCGCAUUUCACAGCACUGCUGCCCUCCAUAGCAAUGAUAAUGCCUGUCAGAGGGCAGGAUUUUCUCCUGCCUCGUGAACUGAGGUGUUUCUUGACCCUAAUAUUCAAAAGCGACCACUUCUA